ACUGGCCUCUUCCUUCCACCCAACCAUUCCUCUUCCACUGUUUCCAUCCCCACCCAGCUAUCCCCACACCCAGCCUGUCAUCCUCUUGCCUAGUCAUCCCUUUCUUUCCUGUCCUGCCUUAUUCCCUAUCCAAGUUAUUCUCCACUCUGUCCUAGCCAUCUCACAACCAGCCUGCCCUACACUACCUAUCCAUCCCUCGCUCGCCUGACCUUCCUCAACCUCUUGUGACGUCGCAGAUCUCUAGAUGGACGGUACUUGGAGCUGAAUCCUGAGACGAAUCAUCUUGGCAGCGCGAGACUCAAGGGACGAGGCUGAUAUGAUUGUGUGUGGCGUAAAUAACAAGCCAGCGCCAAGUACACGAGUUGGGACGAAACGACACCGUGACGCAGUGGGCCUCUGGUCUCGUGGACAGUGAUCUGCCGCAAGAGGAAGAAUGCACGUGAGUUUUGUCCUGGCCAAGGAAUUCCGGAUAACGCAGGUGUUUGGGAGAGUGGAUGAUCAGACAGGACUGAGUAGAUGCUGAGUCUCGGGAGUGAACUGUGUGGUGCAGGACUGUAGCGGUUAUGCAGUCUCUUUAUAACGAGAGACACAUCGUGGAGGAGGCUGGCGAGUGCUCUCAACACACGUGACGGAGCGGCGCCAUGGUAACUGUCACCGUGGCCAGGAAGUCUCUUGUGCUGAACACUACAAUGUUGUGUUAUCAAGACUGUUUAUUGGUGCAGCGCAUACAGUCGGAUCACUAAGCGUGUUGUAGUGAUGAAACUAUGGAAACUAUGGCGAAUGAUUAUUGAUCGUUGGAAAAAAGCAUAGGUGUGAUAAUAAUUCGGUGCUUGAGUUACACUAACACUCCAUCACUACCGCCACCACGGCCAUCACCACCAUCACCACCGCCAUAACCACCGCCGCUAUUAAGACACGGACGCCCAGCACUCUGCCGCCACCAUCAACACUAACGUGAUCGUCACCUCGAGCGGGGAGGUGACGUGGCUGUCUCACGGCAUCUACAAGUCCUCCUGUGACAUGAACGUGGAGUUUUUCCCCUUUGAUGUCCAGUCCUGCAAGAUGUGGGCGUCCUGGACCUACGACGGCUACCAGCCCUUUUGGUGUUCCACGUGCCGAGCGAAUCCGGGGAGAAGGUGACUCAGGGCAUCUCGGCGCUGCUCUCCAUGACUGUCUUCCUCAUGACCAUCAGAGUCCCUGCCGCCAGCUGAGAAGACACCGCUCGUCAGCGCCAUGUUCGACCAGGAUUCCAGGGUGAUCCAGAACGCCUUCCUGCACGCCAUCCAGCACUACAGUCAAAACACCGCGGGCAGGAGGCUUCAGCUUCACGCCUUUGUGGGCAUCAUCAGUAUGGCGGAUGCCUUCAAGAUCUCCAGACUGAUGUGAUGUCGUGCGCUCUGUUCCUUUCCAUUCAUCGCGCUGCGUUUUCCUCUCCCAAGCUUUGGCUCACGCUAAAGCCGCAGAUACAUUUAGAUUUCUUUGUAUUCUAUACUAAUGAAACACCACUAUUGCCUUUUGCUUUGUUGUUGCUGUUGUUGUUGUUGUUGUUGUUGUUGUUGUUGUAGAAAUAGGAUAAUGGCCAUUGAAUGUCUUACUGUUCAUUAUGUUGUGAUGCUUCGAACUUGCUGAAACUUAAACACAUGAUUUGAUCUUUUAAGUUGUGGUGAAACUUUGAAUUUGUUGAAGUCAGUUGAAGAUUACACACUGGGAUAUUCUAAUAGUGACGACAUUCUGAAAUGUUGACUUUGUCAGACUUAAACACCUAAAAGAUAUAGACUGUGAUGAAACUUUGAACUUUUGGACCUUAUCACACACAUUGAAAAAUACUACACGUUUUUUAUUUAUUGUAAUAAAAUUUUGAACAUUUCGAACUUAACACAGCCUCACUUUUAAGAAACUAGAUUCUAAUGGAACUUUAAACUUAUCGCACGUAACUCAACAGCCAUCAUUCUUAAGUAUCCAAAUUGUAAGAAAACUUUGAUGAAAUUUUGUACUCAGUACAUCUAUAUACUUAAGAAACCAAAUUAUAAUAAAAGUAAAAAAAAAAAAAAAAAAUUCGUACCAAGCACAACUAAAUACCUCAAGGUUCAAUUUUGUGACGAGACACUGAACUUCACUGCCACACUUCAAGAUCCAAACUUGCAGGAUCAAGGUCACAGCUCACGAUACAUUUUGGACCUACCUAAAAGCCAGCAAGAUACACAAGCUGUUUGAUGGGAUGAGAAGCCAUGUGAGGAAUGAAACAAGAAAAAAAAAAUGGAAUAUUGACUUUUAAGUUUGUUUAUGGGAUUAGAAACCUUACACUCUGGUUUUGCUUUUUUUUUUCUUUUCUUUUUUGUUUUGUUUUUGUCUCAUCUUUUCUUUCUUCCUGAUUUUCAUUCUUAUUUUUAUUUGUUAUUGUCAUUGUUGUUGUUGUUGUUGUUGUUGUUGUUGUUGUUGUUGUUGUUGUUGUUAUUC